ensembl:lncRNA
CUUGUGCCUUACCCCAAACUAACUGAAUCAGAGAGUCUAGGGGUGGGAUCCAGCAAUCUGUCUGCUACCAAGUCUCUGGCCGACUGCUACCCCACGGAUCUGACACAUGCUGUGUGAGCAUCAGUGGUUAUUUUCAAACCUCAGAUCAGCUGCUAACUCUAUUUGUGGCCCUGAAAAAGUAACCUCUCUGAGCAUUAGUUUCCCACUCCACGUUCUCUCUCUUCAUUUUCCUUUCCUGUACUCUGACUGCUUAGAGUCAAGAAGGCAGGUCUGCUGGUGAAACUAAUGUCCAGCUGGGCAACGAUAUGCCAGCUUCCACUUCUUGUAGAUGCCCCAAUAUUCACAUGAGAUUUUCUUGACUCCCUUUGGGUUUGGAGUUUAUUGCGUGGAUUCUCUGAACUGGCCCUUCCCAGUAAAACUGUAGAGAAAGUGGCUAGGCCCCCAAAUUGGGGGUCCCUUGGACUCAAAAUGUAAAACACUGCAGAAUCCUUCAUCCUCAGCCAUGAACCUUCACUAUAAUUCCAGAACCACAGAAAACACUUCCACUCGCCAUUCUGUUAUGUUGGCAACAUGUGGAUAAUUAUACACUGUACUAUCUCCAUUUUGCAGAAUUAUUGUGAGGGUCAAAUGAAAGAAAUGAUUAUGGAAUCACUUUUAAAACUGUAGAGCACUACACAGAUGCUGGUUUUUGUUGUAUUCUAAUACUCUUGAGAAUUGUUUUCUGUUUCUAUUUCUCCAUCCUUUAUAAUUCUAGUCUCAAUAGAGAAAAUGAGGCCUCUUCCCUUACCUGUAAGUAUUUAAUUGUCGGUUGCAUCACUCUCAUUUCCGUUUUACGAGGCAAUGAUAGUAAGGCCUCUUUAGGUUGUGAAUAGCAGAAAUCCAUCACAGACUUGUGUAAUCCAGAAAUGGGGAGACAAUGAGGGUAACCCACAGAAACAAAGGAGGGGCUGUAAGAAGCAGGGCCUUGGGCUCUGGAAUAAGAGAGUCAACACUGCCUUGCCUUUUUCUCUCCUGCUGCAGCUCUCAUCUCUGUCAGUCUUUCACUUUGCUUUGAGCACUACCUUGUUUCUCCUACUCCAGCCAGGUUAUCACCAUGUGGCAGAGAACAUGGCCACAAGCAGCUGCAGUUUAACAACAUUUGAGGUAGGAGAUGGCAUCUUUUUCUCAUUGUGCAUAUAUGGAUCCCAGGGAAGAACUCUGAUUGGACCAGGAGUACAGAGUCGGCAAACAUAAAAAAGUCAGCAGGUGGAGCUCCUAUUCCCUCGGCAGUCCUGAUAGAAGUCCUUCUCUUGAAAGAAUUUCCAAUUACAGACUGUCUCUCUGGCAGCCCUGUUCUAGGCUCCCUACAGACAGUAUCAGAAUAAUACAUGAAAAUGCAAGACUCGGAGACAUUACAGUAUGCUGUUGUAGGUCAUAAAGGAGAAGAAGGAAAGAAGAGCCAGAAAUCUUUAAUUUAAUUUAAUUUUUAUUUUAUUUCAUUUUUUGCUAUUUCUCCCAUUUUACAUUUCUUUUCAAUUAACAAAGAAGGUGUCAUCCUUCAAGAGUGAGACUUGACAGGUGUACUAAUUCAUUUGUUCCCUGGUACACUUGGUACCAGUUCUCUCACCCUUUCACAAUGUGGCACUUCAUUACCACUGAACUCAGCAUUGGAUCAGUCAGGAGAAAUGGUAUCCAACAGGAGAACGAAAAAAGUAUGGAACCAGAAAAUGCCUUGGACUCCUCUUCAAAUUUUGUUUUGUAGUUAUUCUGUUGGCAAGUAAAUUCACGAAAAAUUUAAGUAUCUUUCCCGUUAACCACUAAGUCUGAUAACUUCUCUAAAUUUUUCAUGAGGGUGUGUGAUUGCCAUUUUGCAGGCAGCAAUGACAAUAAAAAUACCCUUUUAAUUCACUACAUUUGAUAUGCACAUAAUUCCUUUAGUGUGAAACCUACUUACUGUCUUGUUCAAUUUGCCAUUUCUAAAGGAGUAGUGAGAAACUGGGUGAUCGAAUACAUUUCUUAUAAGGACCUGGCACGUGGUAUCAUGUGACAGCAGAUGGCAUGUGAAAGCCGUUGUGGGAAAUAUGGCCCCUGUUAAAUAGGCUGUGAAUGUGCAAGGUUGUGCAUGUCUCCUUAGAGUGCCAUUCAGUCACCCUGGCAUCUGCAGGAGAGUAAACAGCAUCUCAUUCACUUUCAUAACGAAAGCUAAUGUGAACAACCUCAGGAAAGUCAUGGAGCUGCAGGUACAUGCGGCCUGUUGCCCUGUGGUCAAAUGCACAGACCAAAGCUAGUAGCAUUCACUCCACAGGG